AUUGAACGCUGGCGGCAUGCUUUACACAUGCAAGUCGGACGAGUGGCGGACGGGUGAGUAAUGCUUGGGAAUCUAGCUUAUGGAGGGGGAUAACUAAGGGAAACUGUAGCUAAUACCGCGUACCAUAGGAUGAGCCCAAGUGGGAUUAGGUAGUUGGUGAGGUAAAGGCUCACCAAGCCGACGAUCUAUAGCUGGUCUGAGAGGAUGACCAGCCACACUGUGACUGAGACACGGCCCCGACUCCUACGGGAGGCAUCAGUUGGGAAGAUUGCGGAAUGGGGGCAACAUUACGCAGCGAUGCCGCGGGAAUGAAGAAGGCCUUCGGGGUUUAAAGUUCUUUCGGUAGCGAGGCGUUAACUACAGAAGAAGCACCGGCUAACUCCGUGCCAGCCGCCGCGGUAAUAC
rnacentral:rRNA from 1 species